GCAGUUGAGCGGAGAUAUAUGGAGCUUGCUUUAUAUAACUUAGCAGCGAACGGGUGAGUAACACGUAGAUAAUCUAUCCUAUACUGGGGGAUAGCCCGAUGAAAGUUGGAUUAAUACCGCAUAUAGCUAUAUAGUUGCAUGAUUAUGUAGUGAAAGAUUUAUUGGUAUAGGAGGAGUCUGCGGCACAUUAGCUAGUAGGUGAGGUAAAGGCUUACCUAGGCGACGAUGUGUAGCCGGUCUGAGAGGAUGAACGGCCACAAUGGAACUGAGACACGGUCCAUACUCCUACGGGAGGCAGCAGUGGGGAAUAUUGCACAAUGGGGGAAACCCUGAUGCAGCAACGCCGCGUGAGUGAAGAAGGUUUUCGGAUUGUAAAGCUCUGUUAGCAGGGAAGAGGAAGGACGGUACCUGCAGAGGAAGCCACGGCUAACUACGUGCCAGCAGCCGCGGUAAUACGUAGGUGGCAAGCGUUGUUCGGAAUAACUGGGCGUAAAGGAUGCGUAGGCGGUUAAACAAGUUAUAUGUUAAGUAUAUAGGCUUAACCUGUAGAAAGCAUAUAAAACUGUUUAACUAGAGUGCAGGAGAGGUAAGUGGAAUUCCUAGUGUAGCGGUGAAAUGCGUAGAGAUUAGGAAGAACACCAGUGGCGAAGGCGACUUACUGGACUGUAACUGACGCUGAGGCAUGAGAGCAUGGGGAGCAAACAGGAUUAGAUACCCUGGUAGUCCAUGCU
rnacentral:rRNA from 1 species